GGAGGAAGUAGGGGAUCGCAAGACCUUGCGCUUUUGGAGCGGCCGAUGCCUGAUUAGCUUGUUGGUAAGGUAAAAGCUUACCAAGGCUUCGAUCAGUAGCUGGUCUGAGAGGACGGCCAGCCACACUGGGACUGAGACACGGCCCAGACUCCUACGGGAGGCAGCAGUGGGGAAUUUUGGACAAUGGGGGCAACCCUGAUCCAGCCAUGCCGCGUGAGUGAAGAAGGCCUUCGGGUUGUAAAGCUCUUUCAGCCGGAACGAAACGGUUACGGUUAAUACCCGUGACUAAUGACGGUACCGGAAGAAGAAGCACCGGCUAACUACGUGCCAGCAGCCGCGGUAAUACGUAGGGUGCGAGCGUUAAUCGGAAUUACUGGGCGUAAAGCGUGCGCAGGUGGUUUUGUAAGUCAGAUGUGAAAUCCCCGGGCUCAACCUGGGAACUGCGUUUGAAACUACAAGGCUAG
rnacentral:rRNA from 1 species